rnacentral:tRNA from 1 species
GCCGUCUUAGCUCAGGGGUAGAGCAACUCCAUGGUAAGGAGUAGGUCGGAGGUUCAAUUCCUCUAGACGGCA